CCUACGGGAGGCAGCAGUGAGGAAUAUUGGUCAAUGGACGAGAGUCUGAACCAGCCAAGUAGCGUGAAGGAUGACUGCCCUAUGGGUUGUAAACUUCUUUUAUAUGGGAAUAAAAUGUUCCACGUGUGGGAUUUUGUAUGUACCAUAUGAAUAAGGAUCGGCUAACUCCGUGCCAGCAGCCGCGGUAAUACGGAGGAUCCGAGCGUUAUCCGGAUUUAUUGGGUGUAAAGGGAGCGUAGGUGGAUUGUUAAGUCAGUUGUGAAAGUUUGCGGCGCAACCGUAAAAUUGCAGUUGAAACUGGCAGUCUUGAGUACAGUAGAGGUGGGCGGAAUUCGUGGUGUAGCGGUGAAAUGCUUAGAUAUCACGAAGAACUCCGAUUGCGAAGGCAGUUCACUGGACUGCAACUGACACUGAGGCUCGAAAGUGUGGGUAUCAAACAGGAUUAGAUACCCGAGUAGUC
rnacentral:rRNA from 1 species